AGAGCGAACGCUGGCGGCAGGCUUAACACAUGCAAGUCGAGCGGGCGUAGCAAUACGUCAGCGGCAGACGGGUGAGUAACGCGUGGGAACGUACCUUUUGGUUCGGAACAACACAGGGAAACUUGUGCUAAUACCGGAUAAGCCCUUACGGGGAAAGAUUUAUCGCCGAAAGAUCGGCCCGCGUCUGAUUAGCUAGUUGGUGAGGUAACGGCUCACCAAGGCGACGAUCAGUAGCUGGUCUGAGAGGAUGAUCAGCCACAUUGGGACUGAGACACGGCCCAAACUCCUACGGGAGGCAGCAGUGGGAAUAUUGGACAAUGGGCGAAAGCCUGAUCCAGCCAUGCCGCGUGAGUGAUGAAGGCCCUAGGGUUGUAAAGCUCUUUUGUGCGGGAAGAUAAUGACGGUACCGCAAGAAUAAGCCCCGGCUAACUUCGUGCCAGCAGCCGC
rnacentral:rRNA from 1 species